AGCUGCUCUGAGUGCAGUGUAUUACAACUACUUGAUCACAACCAGUUACAGAUUUCUUUGUUCCUUCUCCACUCCCACUGCUUCACUUGAGUAGCCUUUU
ensembl:Y_RNA Y_RNA Y RNA